ACCAUAAAACUCAUAUGACCCAGGAUUUCAAGGGAAUUGUCUUCACUUCAUUCAAAGGCGGAGAUCACGUAAUUUAUGAACCUCAACUGUUCUUCCUUUGUGUCGGAAUAACUGCUCACGAGUUACUGCUGCUAUUCCAAAUUCUUCAACUCAUAACAAGUGAAGAAUCUUGCUCACAUCACUGAAGGUUCCAGAAUCGUUAAUCAGAGAGUCACAACGGACGAGAAGAUUGUGUGUGCAAAGGACUGGACAAGAUACGGUCUCGAACUUUCUGACUGUGCUAUGCCGACAUUCGCUUGGAUACUCGUAAGAGUGGUGUAAUUAAUUAUGCAUGCUGAGUGGUCGCUUGUCACCACGGCAUGGCUACUUCCCACGUCAUCAAUGAAGGUGAUGGACUGCAUCCAGCGACCGUAUUCAGCAGAAAUGUGGCGGACAACGGGCGAUGGUAGGGCAGGGAAGGGGAGAGGAGAGGAGUGCCCAAGAAAACCUCACCGAAAUAAAAACAGCAUGUUACACAGCACCUCGGACAUGAGGGCUCUUGUGAACACGGUACUGAGCUUUGUGGUUCCAUAAAAGGGAGGCAAAAUUCUUUUCUAGUUGAGCGACCGGUAGAUUCUCAGGAAGAACCGUGCUCCAUGGUGACAGUUCUUGUGAAUUAUUAUGGGCCAAAAUUCACGCACAGUUUUACGGUAAUAAGCAUGUGUUAUUGUGCUAUCGGAUACAACGGCAUCCGAAAUUCUUAAUCGGGAAUUGCACUGGUGUCCUUUUAACGCGGGCCUAAUUUUUUUCCGUGUUAUAUUCGGGAGAUCCCUGCUUUAAAUGUAGGACCGAAGAUUUUCUAUCCUGAUCGAGAUUUUAUUUUUUCUCAGUCCCUCCAUCCAAGUGCCAUGAUAAUACUUAAAUUAGGUGACAACCGCUUCCUUCCACGCCUUUUCCAAUUAAUUCUUCUCGAAUCACCCCCUUAUUCGACGCUACUUUGUUUGGGCUACUGAUAACGCCGUUGAACAACCUACAUAUAGACCUACGUUUUGAAAAAAAUUAGAUGUUAUUCUGAUGAACGUUGGACAAUUUUUAAUCGUGUAUUUCUAUGAAUUUUAGCACGAUAGGAUAUAACAUAGUAAGUCAGCGAAAUAUUGGCGCUUUAAGGUCCAUGACGGUAACCGUUCAACACUUAUAAAUUAAAAUUUAAAAUUUAAACUCAUUUAGGGCGACGAAGUCCAUAAGAUAUAAUCUUCGGAACCUAAAAACGCAGCGCAUAAUGGCGAUCUGUAUUAGAGUGAUAAAAAACAAGGCGGUUGAGAUGAGUGGGCAUGUAACACGCAUGGCUCAUGAAACAUGUGUCUUACCAAAUGUCGUAUUUAAAUUUCUUACAAAUUUUAUAGGAAUCUGCGGAUUACAAUUCACGAAAUGUUUUUAUUCUUUUGAAUGUUUAUUGGAUUAGAAAUGGGCGACAUUUGUAUCAUCCAGUUGACAUACUCCAGAGUAAACAGGUCAGGCGUUUAUUACGCACUAAAAUCAAACGCUGAACAUGCAUCACUAGGCCAAUGAGAACUGUGUGUUCCUGUCAGCACAAACAGCGUGGCCUUUUGUUUCACAGAUAAAGUUCUUACUUGGAACAAGAGUGGAAAGCUGAACUCUGCUGCGAGUAGAGGCCUGCUCCAAACUGUUGAAAGAUGUUGCGCUGUGUAGUUUGAUAGGACUUCGCCGACGUUUUAUAAGGUACUUACUGUCUCUAUAAUCAGGGCGAAUCGUCAUUGAACGUAUUUAAUACGUUUUCCAACGACUAUCAUAUGGUCCUGCAGUUUUUUGUAACUUAAUUGUUAAUCAAUCAAUCUCAAUCACAGCUCGCUGUGCUGAUAUUACUUGUGGUACAGGCCUGUUGACAUCUUGCAACACUUCCAAACUCUGAGGUCCUCAGGGAUCGGAGGGGAGGGAGUGUGUGAUUCGUAUAAAAAUCUGCACAUUUGUUUUAGACGUUUUUCGAUAUGCUGUCCACAUAGGCUUGCCGACAUACAAGAAAAAUAAAUGGCAUCUGUGCAGUGCAAAAAACAUAUCUGCAGUGUUAAUUUGGUUUGUCAGCAUCCCAGUUCAUAAACACACUGGCGUUAAUCCGUAAUACUAUUAGCUUUGAAGCAGCAGACUGCGACUUAAAUAUGUGAUAAAUGAACACUGAAAGCAGUGAUAUAG